rnacentral:rRNA from 1 species
UACGUAGGGUGCGAGCGUUAAUCGGAAUUACUGGGCGUAAAGCGUGCGCAGGCGGUUUUGCAAGCCGGAUGUGAAAUCCCCGGGCUCAACCUGGGAAUGGCAUUCGGGACUGCAAGGCUGGAGUGCGGCAGAGGAGACUGGAAUUCCUGGUGUAGCAGUGAAAUGCGUAGAUAUCGGGAGGAACAUCUGUGGCGAAGGCGGCCACCUGGACCAACACUGACACUGAGGCACGAAAGCGUGGGGAGCAAACAGG